UGAAGCAUGGAUGAACAAUCGCAGAACGGGCUUCAGUUUUUUUGUUUGAUUACUGAUUGUUUUAAAAUCAACUAACUUAUUUUAAGCAUAAGUGUUUCAAAGUAAUGGGUAAAUUUAAAAAUAAAAAUUGGAGGCUUCACACGACUGCUCCCAAGCGGCAGGUUUUAGAAAACGCUACACCAUCGAAGUUGAAAUCAUGCACCAUUAAACCUGGCUCGGUUUGAUGUUAUGUCAAGGGCAGAGAAAGGAAGAAAUAGGAAUGUCUGUAGAUUUUGUACUUAUUAAAUUAAGAGUGCAUCAAAAUUAUUUGAAAAUAUUAAAAUACCUGUUGAAGCACUGGAAUUUCAAGCUUCUUACCAUAAUUUGAGUGAAAGUAGCAGUGCAUCUCUAACUGAAGCAGUUAAAAGUAAAGUUCCAUCAAAGAAGUGUGUCAAAAUGGGAACACAAUAUUCGACUAGAAUGUCAGCACGCAAAAUGAGAAUCAUGGAGAUGAUGAAGAGGGAUGAAAAAUUCCAGAAACAGAGAGUGUAUGGUACUUUUGCUGAUUUUGACUCCUUAAAUGAUGCUUUACCAACAUUACAAGAGCUCACAGAUCUUACAAAGCACCAUAAGACCAGAAGAGAACAAUAUGAAUCAGGUCGGCCAAAUUCUUUCAGGAGACUAGAUCAAGAAAUGGUGAAUGCUGUAGAAACAUUUCAAGCUGUGUUCAAAGAUGAAAAUUAUAAAUCUGAUCCAUUUAAUGCAAUUUCAUUGCAUGUGAAACAAAGAAUAGAAGCAGAAAGGAAAGAAAAUUGAUGUAUAUAUUUGUUACAUAAAUAAUAGUUUUGUUUA